AGGAUAACAUAGGCAGGUAGUGAAGAAAGAGAGGCACAGAAGGGGCUCCGAUGGCUGUCCUUGUCCUCUGUCUGCCCUAAACAUUUCUGUGGUUCCCAUUAAACAGUGUGAAUGUCAACAAGGGCUGGGAUUUCGGUUGGACUUAUUCAUGCUUCACAUCUCCAUAUUUUAUAUUUCCCAGGACUGACCCAUAUGCAGCCUCUUUCCUUCUGAGAUAGAGGUCUGCUUAGCCUACAACCCAGUAGACAGACAAAUCGUGAUCUGGUGAAACCUAGAAGAAUUAUGAACUGUAGCAAAAAUAGCC
rnacentral:lncRNA from 1 species